rnacentral:rRNA from 1 species
CGGUGGGGAUUAGUGGCGAACGGGUGAGUAACACGUGGGCAAUCUGCCCUUCACUCUGGGACAAGCCCUGGAAACGGGGUCUAAUACCGGAUACCACUACCGCAGGCAUCUGUGGUGGUUGAAAGCUCCGGCGGUGAAGGAUGAGCCCGCGGCCUAUCAGCUUGUUGGUGAGGUAAUGGCUCACCAAGGCGACGACGGGUAGCCGGCCUGAGAGGGCGACCGGCCACACUGGGACUGAGACACGGCCCAGACUCCUACGGGAGGCAGCAGUGGGGAAUAUUGCACAAUGGGCGAAAGCCUGAUGCAGCGACGCCGCGUGAGGGAUGACGGCCUUCGGGUUGUAAACCUCUUUCAGCAGGGAAGAAGCGAAAGUGACGGUACCUGCAGAAGAAGCGCCGGCUAACUACGUGCCAGCAGCCGCGGUAAUACGUAGGGCGCAAGCGUUGUCCGGAAUUAUUGGGCGUAAAGAGCUCGUAGGCGGCUUGUCACGUCGGGUGUGAAAGCCCGGGGCUUAACCCCGGGUCUGCAUUCGAUACGGGCUAGCUAGAGUGUGGUAGGGGAGAUCGGAAUUCCUGGUGUAGCGGUGAAAUGCGCAGAUAUCAGGAGGAACACCGGUGGCGAAGGCGGAUCUCUGGGCCAUUACUGACGCUGAGGAGCGAAAGCGU